rnacentral:lncRNA from 1 species
UUUUUUUUUUUUUUGCCGAGGGUAGGCAGUUGGAAGCCUUGAAGCCCUUCUGGCUGUCUGCCCCAUAUCCCUUCCUGGCUGUUGGGAAGCAGGGCAGAAGUGAAGAUUGCGGGGAAGAGGACAGGGGCUGGCACACCGCCAGGUGCUGGGCAGAGGAAUUAGCCCACAGACCCUGGUGGAACUAACUGGCUGAGAGUGAAGCCUGGGGAGUUUCUAACUAGCAGAUGGCUUUAGGUGUGUGUUAGCCUGUGUUGGUUCAAGGAAUUGAACAGAGACAGGAUGUCGAGGAGGGAAGGAAGGGGACCGGGGACUGAAGGCAUUGGCAGGUUGUUGGAGCUUGGAAGACAAGAGGAGCUUAUUUGGUGUGUUCAUCCUGGUGGGUUGUAAAGGAGUGGGAGGUGGGAGGUGGGAGGUGGGAGUGUGUGGCUUCCAGCUGGCAGGGUGUGAGAAAGGUGGUAGCUGUAAGCCAUGGUACCAUCUCAAUGGGCAGACAACACAUCUGUGGCAGCUGGAAGUGCCUUGCUGCAGGCAUUUCCUACCUCGCAGCUCAGAGCCGAAGGAAGAAAUGAAGGCUGCAUCCUAGGCCAAGUGCCCAGGCUAACCCAGGUUCGUUCUUGUUGCUCUUGUGCUCCUUUUUACGGGAGUUCCUGCGUGCACAAAAGCAGUGCGGUGCAUACUGCUUCUUGGAAAAGUUCUUUUUUUCCCCUGUGUGGCAGUAAUUGAGGCAUAACUUCUCAAAAAUGUUCCUUUAUGCAACUCCCCAGGAAGUUUCCUUUGGGACUAUUGUCUUUUCUUCUGGACGGAGAUGCCCAGUCUCCUGGAUGACGAACUUGCUUUCCGAAUUGCCCGAGGCCAAGAAGAGACCAAGAAUAGCAGUUGCCUUGUGUCCUGGGAUCUUCCCUGUAACUGAUACCACUGACUGGUUUUAUACCAACAGUGGUGGGUACUGUGCCAGGCAGGCUGAAGGAUCAAGUGGGCUGGGUUCACUGGCUUUUGUGGUUGGAUGGGCCCACCUGGCAUAUUAACUGGUAACCCCCUUCCUAGGGGUUGAUAUGUCUUGGUCACCUUUCCUUAAGUGAUCCAAUGAUCAGAAGGCAUUCUGAGGAGCUAAGAGCUGUGUAGCCCGGCAACCUGGGUUGGGUUUUGGGCCCUGCCUCUGGUAAGAUGGCUUUGUGCAGCUGGCCUUCAAACUCCAAGGCUCUUAUUGAAUGUGAUAGUGGGGUAAGAAAUCACCAACCUCUUGUGGCUGUGUAAUAAAUGGAGUCAUGCAUACAAUGACUUGGCACAGAGACUCAAAUAUCCAAAUGAUGUUAUCCACACUCCGAUCUCUUCCUUCUUUUUUCUCUUCUAAUCUCAGCAGAGAGCAGGAGGCAGCCACCACUGUCUGUUUAGAUGAAGUCUGAUUGGUCAUCUUAAGGAUUCUGAUAGGUGGAGGGGGAAGGCUGGGAGCUGGCUCAGUAGGUAAGAAGCACUUGCUAUGUGGGGUCUUGAGUUUGGAUCACUAGCACCCACGUGUUAAAAU